rnacentral:rRNA from 1 species
GAUGAACGCUAGCGGAAGGCUUAAUACAUGCAAGUCGAGCGGUAGUUCCCUUCGGGGGAUGAGAGCGGCGCACGGGUGAGUAACGCGUACAUGACCUGCCUGUCAGAAGGGGAUAGCCCUGGGGAACUGGGAUUAAUACCCUAUGGUAUUGAUAUUAUGAAUGAUAUCAAUUAAAGUUGAGGCGCUGACAGAUGGAUGUGCGUCUGAUUAGCUAGUUGGUAGGGUAACGGCCUACCAAGGCGACGAUCAGUAGGGGGCGUGAGAGCGUGGUCCCCCACACGGGUACUGAGACACGGACCCGACUCCUACGGGAGGCAGCAGUAAGGAAUAUUGGUCAAUGCCCGCAAGGGUGAACCAGCCAUUCCGCGUGGAGGAUGAAGGCCCUAUGGGUUGUAAACUUCUUUUAGAUGGGAAGAAAAUGCUAGAUGUAUCUGGUACUGACGGUACCAUCAGAAUAAGCACCGGCUAACUCCGUGCCAGCCGCCGCCGUAAAAC